GCCGCGGUAAUACCCGCAGCCCGAGUGGUGGUCGAUUUUAUUGAAGUCUAAAACGUUCGUAGCCGGUCUGAUAAAUCCCUGGGUAAAUCGGGUGGCUUAACCAUCCGAAUUCCGGGGAGACUGUCAGGCUUGGGAUCGGGAGAGGUAUGAGGUACUUCAGGGGUAGGGUAAAAUCCUGUAAUCCUUGGAGGACCACCGGUGGCGAAGGCGUCAUACUAGAACGAAUCCGACGGUGAGGGACGAAGCCCUAGGUCGCAAACGGGAUUAGAUACCCCGGUAGUCUAGGGUGUAAACGCCUGCAGACUAGGUGUUGGAGGCCCUACGGGGGCACCCAGUGCCCGAGAGAAGUUGUUAAGUCUGCUACUUGGGGAGUACGUCCGCAAGGAUGAAACUUAAAGGAAUUGGCGGGGGAGCACCGCAAAACCGGGAGGAGCGUGCGGUUUUAAUUGGAUUCAACACCGGAAAACUCAACCAAGGGAGACCAUCACAUUGAAAGCCAGGCUAAUGACUUUGCUUGAUUCUUGGAGGAGUGGUGCAUGG
rnacentral:rRNA from 1 species